UACGUAGGGUGCGAGCGUUGCCCGGAUUUAUUGGGCGUAAAGGGCGCGUAGGCGGCCCACGCACGUCCGUUGUGAAAUCGCCCGGCUCAACUGGGCGGGGUCAGCGGAUACGGUGUGGCUCGAGCAAGCUAGGGGGCAAUGGAAUUCCCGGUGUAGUGGGUGGAAAUGCGUAGAUAUCGGGGAGGAACACCAGUGGCGAAGGCG
rnacentral:rRNA from 1 species